AUUGGUUUGGAGCUCAUGUAUGUUGCCCUUGAAGCUCAGAUUGUGUCCUAUUAGUGCAGAUAAUGUGUGCAUCAGGUUGUAGGCAGUGUUCAUUCUGACUGCACUCACUAAACUAGCUGGACCACAUGUUCAGCUGAGCCAUGCAGCAGCUCCACAGGGUUGGAGGCCUUUGUUUGGCUGGUGGGUUAAAGGACCCAGAGAUUGAUUGAUAGAUUGUCUUUGUAAUAUUGACCACACAAUUAAUUUACAUUGAAUAAAACAAACAAACAAACAAUAGCAUUUAGCACUGCCUCCUGAUUACGGUCUGAUUGAACUCCAAGUGAGCAGCAAACAUACAUUGUCUGCAUCAUAAAGAAUAACAGCGCAUGUACUGUACACUUAACGUGCUCUGCUUUGGUUCCUCGGAGCUCCGGCUGCGGUUUGUGACAGUCUCAACUUGUUUUAACAAACAGACUGUUUGGCAGAGAACAUAGUCUGUCUUCACGUCUUUGAAAUUUACAUCUUAAAUAAAAAUCACUAUUAAAUUUUCUUGUUUUCACAGAAAUUAAAGAAAGAAAUUCUGCAGCCAGCCACAGACCGCGGACCCUGAGGCUCCCCUGACCCAAAACCCGCUAGCCACGGCCCCCGGACAAUCAGACGCUGCUGUAACCAUUUUGCACCGUGCUGCUGCGCCUCUCAGUGACCUUACAACUCACAAGAAACUUCAGUUCUUCAUCUUAUUUUCCUCCAGUUUCUCUCCCUUUUCCUCUCGUCCUUUACAGCAUUGAAAGGGAUUGAACUUCUUAUACCAGGAGCCACAGAGAGAGACACUGUGACCCUCCUUUCUAGAGCUUUAUAGUCUUUCCUCUGAACGUCCAUCUACACAAUUCAGUGACACACUCUUGAGACAUUGGUGUCUUCUUGGUUCAAGGGCUUCUGUGUUUAGUCUCUUGGUGUUGUGUUAUUAUUAAUAAUAAUUAUAAUAAUAAUACCCUAAAUAUUAAUGUUGAUUAUGUUUUACUAUUGUCAGUUGUUUUAGUUUGAAAGGGUUUACCGGAAACGUUUGUAUGGUGUUGUGUCUGUCUUUACACUGUUGGAUCUGACCGCUGACACUGACCGUAUUUAGAAACGUGUGUUUGCUGCCCUCCAGUGGUCAUAACGAGGAACUACAAAACUACAAUAAAUCUGGUUUAUUACAAAGAUUCAAUGUUAUUUUAUUGUCCUUUAUAACGCAAAGGCUGUCGGAUUAAAUUCAGAUAUAAUUCCCUUUAUGGUACUUUAAAAGAAAAAAAAAAGACUAAAAGAAGUUGAAUUAUUGAGGAAUAAUUUAACAAUCUCAGCCUUUUAUUCAUAUUUAAGUGUACAAGUCAAUAUUAGUGUUAUUAUUACAAAUGACUUAUG
rnacentral:lncRNA from 15 species